AAUUAGCCCCAUUCCAAAGCAAGAGGGCAAGAUUUAGGUCAAAAUUGAGAAUGGAGGCUAAUGGUAUUGUGCACGUCCUUCAGCAGCAUGUUUCUUAUUUGCGCACUUUCUUUGAUAUGGAGCAGAUCACUCUGAAGUAUUAUUCUUCUGCUCUUCAUUUAGUGAUGAAAAUCGAACCGUUUGAUCAAGGUUUUUCUUUCUUUUUCCCUAGGUAUGCUUAUGCUCGUAGAUUUGUGGAUUUCAUAAAGCGUUUACUUCCUUUCGAAUCUUGGUGCAACUGUUACGAUAGCAAAACCAUUUUGUCUGUUGAAAUCGCUCCCAUUUGUCGCGACGAUUUGAUUUAUCUGCCUCCUAAUGUUGCUUCGACUUUGGAAAAUAUUGGUCCUAUUGUGAUUUGCACCAAGGUUAAACGAAGCAUUACUUUGCUUGAUCCUUUUACAUUGAAGCACCGUUUGUUACGUGAUUGUGAGUAUUGGCGUGAACCCUUCAGUUAUUUAUUCACCAGUGAACAAUUAGUGAAAUAUGUUGUGAUAAAUGUGGACGAGGUUCAUUCAUCUGAGAUGGUUACUAUUGAUGGCACAGAAUAUGGUUCAUCUAAUGUUGAGAUUGCUCGUGUGGAAGAUUUUGGAAAGAAUGACACAAGAUUUAAAAUCAAGACUCAUCUGGGAAAUCUUUUAAAAGCUGGUGACUAUGCUCUUGGUUAUGACUUGUUUGGUAUUAAUGACCUUCCUCCUGUAAUUUUAAUCAAGAAAACUAGUUAUCAAGAUGAGAUGGACUCUGAAUAUCAACUCUUCUUACGAGAUCUACAACAACAAAACCCUAUUCUCAGGUUCGUCCCAGAAUAACAUGAUUGAUAAUGGUGGAGUAAACAAAACUCACUUCUAUCAUCAUAUUAGAAGGUUGAAGAAACACCCAAGGGAUGGUUCAUUACAUACAUAGAUAGAGAUUGAGAAACACUUUUCAAGGAGAGGAUGAAGAAUAAAAGAGUCAAGGCAGAUUUGGUAGAUGAAGAAAAGCAAGAGAAGGAGAUCAUGAAACAGAUUGAAAGGGCUGAGCAAUUGAUGCAGCUAUCUAAUCCCGAGUUUGAUCAGCCGUCACAGGUUGAGCCUCUGAGGGAGCUAAAUGUAGAAGAUGGAAUUAAGAUAGGAUUUUCUCUUGGGUCAUCUGCUAGAUCUAUGACCAAGGAAAAAGGUGAGGCAUCGGUGAUGGUUUUUGAUGAGGUUGAGGAAGAGAAAUAUGAGGAAAGAAAUUCUAGAAACGAUCUGAAGAGGAAAGAAAGUGGUGGUGGAAAAUCAACAUUGGAAGAAAUGAUCAGGGAGGAGGAGAGGAAAAAGGAAAAAAUAAACAGGAAGGAUUAUUGGUUGCAUGAGGGAAUUGUUGUUAAGGUUAUGAGUUAAGUGUUGGCAGAGAAAGGGUACUACAAGCAAAAGGGUGUUGUGAGAAAGGUGAUUGACAAGUAUGUAGGGGAAAUAGAAAUGCUAGCAAGCAAGCAUGUGCUAAGAGUUGAUCAGGAAGAGCUUGAAACUAUGAUUCCAUAUACUUUGAUGUUAUCGGGUUGCACAGCUUAACGGAAUCUUUAGUGUUGAACAUGCACAACAUGCUGUCGCACGAGUUAGCUAUGCAAAAUGGUUGUUCCCUAAACUUUUUUCCCGAUCUACAAUCAAAAUUACCGGCGGAGACUUGAGGAUUGCAGAUGUUUCAAGAAAGUUUGAGUUCAGCCCGUCAAAAAAGUUUUCAAGCAUGUAAUAGUGUUUUGUUUUCCGGUCAUCGUUCUUAAUAAAGAGACCGACGGAUGCAUGCUCGAAAUGGAACUUCCUAAAGCUAAUAUCCAGAAGCUCCCUCUUCCAUUUUUUCGAAAUGCAGAGGAUGGCGAAAAGACUCUCGAGAGGAAGUUUGACCCAUAUCUCGUGGGUGCAUUCCCUUGGUAGACGGUCAAACAAUGCAAUAUCAGCAACAACAUCAUCAUCAAGAGCAUCAGUAGCAACAUCAAGAACAUCAGCAGAAACAUUAACAAUAAAAGAUUGAAUUGAAGCGGUUGAUUUUCAUUUGGUUCUUCCAUCUGAAGUAUAAAAGAAGUGUUACUGAGAUAAUCUUUGAUUAUAAGAAGAAAAGAAAGAAUGUAAACAACAUACCUUUCAAAAAGAAUUUGCAGAAGCACACGAUUUUGACACUUAGCAUUGCACAUCGGUGACUCUACACGCAAUACUUACAAUGGUAUGGUUGUUUCCGAUAUCAAUCCAUCACGAGGUUCCAACAAUGCAUACUUCCACUUGAGUAAUACUAUCCUUUUCUUUGAAAAUCAUGGAUUGAUAUCGGAAACAACCAUACCAUUGUAAGUAUUGGGUGUAGAGUCACCGAUGUGCAAUGCUAAGUGUCAAAAUCGUGUGCUUCUGCAAAUUCUUUUUGAAAGGUAUAUUGUUUACAUUCUUUCUUUUCUUCUUAUAAUCAAAGACUAUCUCAGUAACACUUCUUUUAUACUUCAGAAGGAAGAACCAAAUGAAAAUCAACCGCUUCAAUCUUUUGUUGUUAAUGUUUUUGCUGAUGUUCUUGAUGUUGCUAUGGAUGAUGAUGUUGUUGCUGAUAUUGCAUUGUUUGACCGUCUACCAAGGGAAUGCACCCACGAGAUAUGGGCCAAACUUCCCCUCAAGAGUCUUUUCGCCAUGCAUUUCGAAGAGAUGGAAGAGGGAGCUUCUGCAUAUUAGCUUUAGGAAGUUCCAUUUCGAGCAUGCAUCAGUCGGUCUCUUUAUUAAGAACGAUGACCGGGAAACAAAACACUAUUACAAGCUUGAAAACUUUUUUGACAGGCUGAACUCAAACUUUCUUGAAACAUCUGCAAUCCCUUACCGUCAAGUCCCCGCCGGUAAUUUUGAUUGUAGAUCGGAAAAAAAGUUUAGGGAACAUCCAUUUUGCAUAGCUAACUCGUGCGACAGAAUGUUGUGCAUGUUCAAUGAUACAGCUAGAGUAUAUGCUGUGCAACCCGAUAACAUUAGAGUAUAUGGAGAUGAAAAAUGCUUAAAGUCGGUCUAUGAUUUUAUUUCAGUUGGAUUUGGUUUCUGCUGGAACAACAAACAUAAAUAGUAUAAGGUGGUGAGGAUUGCCAAAAAAAAGGAUAGUAUUACUCAAGUGGAAGUAUGCAUUGUUGGAACCUCAGGAUGGAUCGAUAUCGGAAACAACCAUACCAUUGUAAGUAUUGAUAAUGAUCCUGCCUUUCUUGUGGAGAUAAUUUAUUUUCUUGUUGGUUACGUAGGUGAGCCAAACAAAAGAUCCAUAGAAGCUUUCGACCUAAAUACUCAUAGUUUUGAACAAAUUCCUUCCUCUACAACGGAUGAUGAAUUUUGUGGCAGAGUGGGUUACUCUGGGAGUAAUCAGAGGAUGUUUGUAUCUUUGCCACCAUCGUGAAGAUGAAAUUGUUAACGUUUGGGUGAAGCAAGGAUAGUGGAGUAUGCUAUUUUCCAUUAUUCUUCCUACUGAUUACGGUUAUCUACGCUAUAUCUACCAUUGCUCCCCCAUGGCAAAUGAUUCUGUUAUUUUAUUUUAUAUAACUUCUAUACCAUCACUUUUUUUUCACUAUCGGCAUGGAGCUGCAUUACAAAAAUACAUUCUUAGUUGUCCUCCCUAUCACCUCUAUUCAAUAAUUCUACACACUCCUAGUUUAGUCUUGCUCAAAAAUGCCCUUCAAAUUGAAAACCUUGUAGUUCUAAGGUGUGAGAAGGGGGAUGAGCAAGCUCUUAUGAUGCUGGAAGAGGAGAAUAUGUGAUUGUAGUAAACAAAUUAUGCACUUUUGAUAAGGUUUCUUCUUGCUGGAGCUUUGAAGAUAUGCACGUUGGAAUUUUUAUAACAGCUCGUACCUUGGAAGUAAUUGUUGCUUGUACAACCCUGAAUCAUUAUCUUAUUAGGGUUUUCUUUAUGUCGUGAUGAGAAUGUUAUGUUGGAACAACAUUUGUGUUAUGGAGGAAGUUAUUGUACUGCAACUUUGAGCAUUAAACAUGUAAAUCGGCUGUGUAGAUUGUUUGCAGAAUGCCGGAUCUCUUAAUUAGCAUACUGAUUUCUAAAUGUAGGGCAUAUUUUCUUAAAACUUUUGGGCCAUAUAACGAUAUUAUCAUUUUUGAAUUGUUCCUUCA